rnacentral:rRNA from 1 species
GAUGAACGCUGGCGGCGUGCCUAAUACAUGCAAGUCGAGCGAACAGACGAGGAGCUUGCUCCUCUGACGUUAGCGGCGGACGGGUGAGUAACACGUGGAUAACCUACCUAUAAGACUGGGAUAACUUCGGGAAACCGGAGCUAAUACCGGAUAAUAUAUUGAACCGCAUGGUUCAAUAGUGAAAGACGGUUUUGCUGUCACUUAUAGAUGGAUCCGCGCCGCAUUAGCUAGUUGGUAAGGUAACGGCUUACCAAGGCAACGAUGCGUAGCCGACCUGAGAGGGUGAUCGGCCACACUGGAACUGAGACACGGUCCAGACUCCUACGGGAGGCAGCAGUAGGGAAUCUUCCGCAAUGGGCGAGAGCCUGACGGAGCAACGCCGCGUGAGUGAUGAAGGUCUUCGGAUCGUAAAGCUCUGUUAUUAGGGAAAAACAAAUGUGUAAGUAACUAUGCACGUCUUGACGGUACCUGAUCAGAAAGCCACGGCUAACUACGUG